UACGAAGGUCCCGAGCGUUGUUCGGAAUCACUGGGCGUAAAGGGAGCGUAGGCGGCGCGGUAAGUCAGAUGUGAAAUCCCGGGGCUCAACCCCGGAACUGCAUCCGAUACUGCCGUGCUAGAGGAUUGGAGAGGUAGCUGGAAUUCUUGGUGUAGCAGUGAAAUGCCUGGAGAUCAAGAGGAACACUCGUGGCGAAAGCGAGCUACUGGACAAUAUCUGACGCUGAGGCUCGAAGGCCAGGGUAGCGAAAGGG
rnacentral:rRNA from 1 species